rnacentral:lncRNA from 1 species
AUUGCAAUUCAUGAUGAAAUAGGGUUGGAAGAGCCGAAGGAUUAUCCAACGUGUUAACUUGGGAUAUGAGUUUGGGUCAGGCCUGGGCAGGGUCGAUAUAAAUCCAAGUUCAUCCUAUUUAAAACUUAGGCUUGAUUAUUAGGUCCAUAGAUCCACUCGACUAAAAAAUAUGGUUCAAGCCCUCUUUAAAGGUGUUGGACUCCGAUAGAUCGCCUCUUAACAUGGGCAGAUCUAAGCAGUAGCCAGUGGCUCAUCCCCAUCGUUUCUCCCCUCACAUUUUUGGCAUCAAGACAGCAAUAAGACCAAUUUCUAGUUGCGAGCUUCCAUGGGAACAUAUUUGGUAAGGCUAUAAAUGGGUCGGGUCAACCCGUGACCCGAUCUAGCUCGACCUGUUUAGAUCCGAUCUAAUCCAUUUUAAAGAAUCCACGAGAUUGGAUUGGAUUCUAAAAUUGGAUCUGUUCAAUAUUUCGGAUCAGAUUUAGAUUUACUAAAUUCAGACCCGAUCGGACUCGAUCCGAUUCGAAUUCAGU